rnacentral:lncRNA from 1 species
GGGGAAUGAAGACCUAGUUCAGGGAAUAGGAGGGUGUAUCGCCGCCGGAGUGCGGAACACCCUCGCCUUGAGGGUUCCCACAGUGACUUGCAAAAGUCUAGUGAGACCCGAGAAGGCUGAGGCGGGACACGAAGCAUGUGGUUCUUGUGGUUGCGACGCUCGUGCCGCCAUCUUGGGUGCUGGCGGCGGAAACCGGUACCCCAACUUCCCCUCGGUGCGAACCUGGAGAAGCCACCCCAGCUGUGAGGGACGGUUGCGCCUCAUGGCCCAGGCAAGGGUACCUUCGCUGGAGCAGUACCGCGGACGGAUAUCAUGAGGGUGGCGGGACGUUGGCGGGACGUUGGCGGAACGUUGGCGGAACGUUGGCGGUGUGAGAGGCUGGACUGGAACUCCUGGACUCAAGCGAUCUUCCCAUUUAUCAGGGACUACUGACGCGUGUCUCCCAAUAAAUACCUGAG